GCCCGGCUAGCUCAGUCGGUAGAUCAUGAGUCCCUUAAUCUCAGGGAUUUCUCAUGGGUUUGAGCCCCACAUCUGGCA